ACAACAACAUUCGGACCGUCGGUCUACCGAGCAAUAUCACCCGCUAGGUGGAAGAUCUUCCCUGUGUCGUAUAUU
rnacentral:pre_miRNA from 1 species